AGCUCCAAUAGCGUAUAUUAAAGUUGUUGCAGUUAAAAAGCUCGUAGUUGAACUUCUGGUAGAGUUAACCUGACUUGAGCUUUGCUCUAGAUCGUGCGUUAACUUGGCCAUCUUGACUUUUUUCGGAAAGUCUCGUUUACUGUAAAAAAAUUAGAGUGUUCAAAGCAAAAAGUAUUUUUGAAUAUAUUAGUAUGGAAUAAUAAGAUAAGGCUUCUGUGUUAUUUUGUUGGUUUGCCACAGAUGCAAUGAUUAAAAGGGACAGUUGGGGGUAUUCGUAUUCCGAUGUCAGAGGUGAAAUUCUUGGUAAGUUUUUGAGUUGUUUUUAGGAAUCAAGAGUUCGUAACCCUAACCUAAAAUCGAUGAAACAGGAUUUUCGAAAGACGAACAACUGCGAAGGCAUUUACCAAGGAUGUUUUCA
rnacentral:rRNA from 1 species